GACGAACGCUGGCGGCGUGCUUAACACAUGCAAGUCGAACGGAAAGGCCCUGCUUUUGUGGGGUGCUCGAGUGGCGAACGGGUGAGUAACACGUGAGUAACCUGCCCUUGACUUUGGGAUAACUUCAGGAAACUGUGGCUAAUACCGGAUAGGAGCUCCUGCUGCAUGGUGGGGGUUGGAAAGUUUCGGCGGUUGGGGAUGGACUCGCGGCUUAUCAGCUUGUUGGUGGGGUAGUGGCUUACCAAGGCUUUGACGGGUAGCCGGCCUGAGAGGGUGACCGGCAACAUUGGGACUGAGAUACGGCCCAGACUCCUACGGGAGGCAGCAGUGGGGAAUAUUGCACAAUGGGCGGAAGCCUGAUGCAGCAACGCCGCGUGCGGGAUGACGGCCUUCGGGUUGUAAACCGCUUUCGCCUGUGACGAAGCGUGAGUGACGGUAAUGGGUAAAGAAGCACCGGCUAACUACGUG
rnacentral:rRNA from 1 species